rnacentral:lncRNA from 1 species
CCAUAGGUUUUGGAUCAUCAUGUUUUCAUUUUCAUUUGUCUCUAGGUGUUUUUUGAUUUUCUGUUUGAUUUUUUUCACUGAUCCAUUGGUUGUUUAGAAGCAUAUUGGUUAACCUCUACGUGUUUGUGUUUUUUGCAGUUUUUUUCUUGUAGUUAAUUUCUGUUCUCAUAGUGUUGCUGUCAGAAAUGAUGCUUGAUGUGAAUCCAAUUUUGUUAAAUUUACUGAACAUGUGAUCUGUCUGGGAGAAUGUUCAUGUACACUUGAGAAGAAUGUAUAUUCUGCUGCUUUCAGAUGGAAUGUUCUAUAAAUAUCAAUUAAGUCCAUCUGCUCUAUUGUAUCAUUUAAGGCCUGUGUUUCCUAUUGAUUUUCUGUCUGGAUGAUCUGUCUAUUGCUGUAAGUGGGGUUAAAGUCCCUCCUAUAAUUGUGUUACUCUCUAUCUCUCCUUUUAUGGCUGUUAACAUUUGCUUUACAUGUUGAGGUGCACCUAUGUUGGGUGCAUAUAUACAAUUGUUAUAGCUUUUUCUUGGAUUGAGUACUUGAUUGUUAUGUAAUCCUUUGUCUCUUAUAACAGUCUUUAUUUUUUUUUUAAUUUUUUUUAUUUUUUUGCUUUUUAGAGCUGCACUUGCAGCGUAUGGAAGUUCUCAGGCUAGGGGUCAAAUCAGAGCUAUAGCUGCCGGCCUACACCACAGCCACAGCAAUGUGGGAUCUGAGCCACGUCUGAGACCUACACCAUAGCUCACAGCAAUGCCAUAUCCUUAACCCACUGAGUGAGGCCAGGGAUCAAACCUGCAUCCUCUUGGAUCCUAGUCGUGUUCAUUAACUGCUGAGCCAUGAAGGGAAUUCCCAGUUUUUAUUGUAUCAUUGUUAUAUUUUUGGCUGGCAUGCAGAAGUUUCCACCUGGGAUUGAACUGAGAGCCGCAGCAGUGACAACACCAAAUCCUUAAUCACUAGGCUAUCAGGGAACCCUAAAUGUUUAUUUUAAAGUCUGUUUUGUCUGAUAUGAAUAUUGUUACUCCAGCUUUCUUUUGAUUUCCAUUUGCAUAGAAUACCUUUCCAUCUCCUCACUUUCAGCCUGUAUGUAUCUCUAGAUCUGAAGUGGGUCUUUUGUAGACAUUAUAUAUACAGUUCUUGCAUUUGUAUCCAUUCUGUCUAUACCUUUUGGUUGGAACAUUUAAUCCCUUUACAUUUAAGGUAAUUAUCUAUAUGUAUGUUCUUAUUGUCAUUUUGUUAAUUAUUUUGGAUUUGUUUUUGUAGGUCCUUUUUCUUUCCUUUGUUCUCUUGUGAUUUGAUGACUGUCUUUGAUUUUUGAUUCCUUUUUCUUUUUUGUGUAUAUAUCUAUUACAGAUUUUUGGUUUGUGGUUACCAUGAAGUUUUGACACAGCAGUCUACACACACACCCCACCCCACACAACUCCCCCCACAUGACUGUGUUAAGUUGCUGAUCUUUUGAUUUCAAAUAUGUUUCAAAUAUCUUGUGUUUGUAUUCUCUCACAAUUACUGAUUUUGGUAUCAUAUUUGCGUGUGGAUGAUUUCCUACUUUCACUCCGUGUUUGCCUAUACUGGUAAGCUUUCCAUUUUGUAAUUUUCUUGUUUUUGUUCACUUUUUCUGCCUAUAGUGGUCCCUUUAGCAUGUAAAGCUGGUUUGAUGGUGCUGAAUUCUUUCGCCUUUUGCUUUUUUGUAAAGCUUUUAAUUUCUCUGUCAAAUCUGAAUGAGAGCCUUGCUGGGUAGCCAAUUAUUGGUUGUAGAUUUUUCCUUUUCAUCACUUUAAAUAUCUUGCUCAUUCUUCUGGCCCAAAGGAUUUGCUGAAAAAUCACCUGAUAAUAUUAUGGGAAUUCCUUUGCAUGUUAUUUGUUGCUUUCCCCUUGUUUUAAUAUUUUCUCAUUAUCUUCAAUUUUUGUUUGAUUAACAUGUAUCUUGACGUCUUCCUCCUUGGUUUAUCUUAUGUGGGACUCUGCACUUCUUGGACUUAGAUGGUUUCCUUUCCCAUGUUAAUGAAGUUUUCAGCUAUUAUGUCUUCAGGUAUUUUCUCAGGUCCUUCCUCUUCUCCUUCUGGGACCCCUAUAAUGUGUUUGUAUGUUUGAUAUUGUCCCAGGAGACUCUUAGACUGUCUUUAUUUCUAUCGGUCUUUUUUCUUUAUUCUAUACUGUGGCGGUGAUUUCUACCUUUCCACCAUUUUGUCUUCUAGCUUACUUAUUUGUUCUUUUGCCUUAUUUAUUCUGCUGUUGUCUCCUUCUAGUGUAUUUUUCAUUUCAGUUAUUGUAUUCUUUAACUCUGGUUCUUCUUUACAUUUUCUUUUUGUCUUUUUAGGGCAUAUGGAAGUUCCCAGGUUAGGGGUUGAAUUGGAGCUGCAGCUGCCGGGCUUUGCUAUAGCUGCAGCAACACUAGAUCUGAGCAGCUACACUACAGCUCACGGCAAGGCCGGAUCUUAACCCACUGAAUGAGGCCAGGGAUUGAAUCUGCAUCCUCAUGGUGGGUUAAGGAUCCGGUGUUGCUGUGAGCUGUAGUGUAGGUCACAGAUGAGGCUCAGAUCUGGUGUGGCUGUGGCUGUGGAGCAGGCUGGCACCUGUAGCUGUGAUUCGACCCCUAGCCUGGGAGCCUCCAUAUGCCACAUGUGUGGCCCUAAAAAGACAAAAAUAAAUAAAUAAAUAAAGAAGCACCCCUCCCACAAAAAAAAAAAAAAAA